GCCAGCGGGGAUAGCACGUUGAAUACACCGGUUCCCUAUGGAUUACUGGAGUAAAGGAAAGUUGCCCGUGGUUGGUUUCCGAAUGGACUUCCAUCUAGCAAAUCGCGUGCCGCUGACU
rfam:Asian citrus Psyllid, Diaphorina citri - Florida Strain, whole genome shotgun sequence.